AUUGAACGCUGGCGGAAUGCUUUACACAUGCAAGUCGAACGGCAGCACGGGGGCAACCCUGGUGGCGAGUGGCGAACGGGUGAGUAAUACAUCGGAACGUGCCCAGUCGUGGGGGAUAACGUAGCGAAAGUUACGCUAAUACCGCAUACGGUCUACGGAUGAAAGCGGGGGACCGUAAGGCCUCGCGCGAUUGGAGCGGCCGAUGUCAGAUUAGGUAGUUGGUGAGGUAAAGGCUCACCAAGCCGACGAUCUGUAGCUGGUCUGAGAGGACGACCAGCCACACGGGGACGGGGCCACGGCCCAGACGCCUACGGGAGGCAGCAGUGGGGAAUUUUGGGCAAGGGGCGCAAGCCUGAUCCAGCCAAUCCGCGUGCAGGACGAAGGCCUUCGGGUUGUAAACUGCUUUUGUAAGGAACGAAAAGGCUCUGGUUAAUACCUGGGGCUCAUGACGGUACCGUAAGAAUAAGCACCGGCUAACUACGUGCCAGCAGCCGCUGUAA
rnacentral:rRNA from 1 species